UACGUAGGGUGCGAGCGUUAAUCGGAAUUACUGGGCGUAAAGCGUGCGCAGGCGGUGAUUCAAGUCAGAUGUGAAAGCCCCGGGCUUAACCUGGGAACUGCGUUUGAAACUGGAUCGCUAGAGUUUAGCAGAGGGGGGUAGAAUUCCACGUGUAGCAGUGAAAUGCGUAGAUAUGUGGAGGAACACCGAUGGCGAAGGCAGCCCCCUGGGCUAGAACUGACGCUCAUGCACGAAAGCGUGGGGAGCAAACAGG
rnacentral:rRNA from 1 species